rnacentral:rRNA from 1 species
GACGAACGCUGGCGGCGUGCCUAAUACAUGCAAGUAGAACGCACAGUUUAUACCGUAGCUUGCUACACCAUAAACUGUGAGUUGCGAACGGGUGAGUAACGCGUAGGUAACCUGCCUGGUAGCGGGGGAUAACUAUUGGAAACGAUAGCUAAUACCGCAUAAUAUUGAUUAUUGCAUGAUAAUUGAUUGAAAGAUGCUAUUGCAUCACUACCAGAUGGACCUGCGUUGUAUUAGCUAGUAGGUGAGGUAACGGCUCACCUAGGCGACGAUACAUAGCCGACCUGAGAGGGUGAUCGGCCACACUGGGACUGGGACACGGCCCAGGCUCCUACGGGAGGCAGCAGUAGGGAAUCUUCGGCAAUGGACGAAAGUCUGACCGAGCAACGCCGCGUGAGUGAAGAAGGGUUUCGGAUCGGAAAGCUCUGUUGUAAGAGAAGAACGGGUGUGAGAGUGGAAAGUUCACUCUGUGACGGUAUCUUACCAGAAAGGGACGGCUAACUACGUG